UACGUAGGGUGCGAGCGUUAAUCGGAAUUACUGGGCGUAAAGCGUGCGCAGGCGGUUAUGCAAGACAGAUGUGAAAUCCCCGGGCUCAACCUGGGAACUGCAUCUGUGACUGCAUUGCUGGAGUGCGGCAGAGGGGGAUGGAAUUCCGCGUGUAGCAGUGAAAUGCGUAGAUAUGCGGAGGAACACCGAUGGCGAAGGCAAUCCCCUGGGCCUGCACUGACGCUCAUGCACGAAAGCGUGGGGAGCAAACAGG
rnacentral:rRNA from 1 species